GAUGAACGCUGGCGGCGUGCCUAAUACAUGCAAGUCGAGCGAACAGACGAGGAGCUUGCUCCUCUGACGUUAGCGGCGGACGGGUGAGUAACACGUGGAUAACCUACCUAUAAGACUGGGAUAACUUCGGGAAACCGGAGCUAAUACCGGAUAAUAUAUUGAACCGCAUGGUUCAAUAGUGAAAGACGGUUUUGCUGGCACUUAUAGAUGGAUCCGCGCCGCAUUAGCUAGUUGGUAAGGUAACGGCUUACCAAGGCGACGAUGCGUAGCCGACCUGAGAGGGUGGUCGGCCACACUGGAACUGGGACACGGACCAGACUCCUACGGGAGGCAGCAGUAGGGAAUCUGCCGCAAUGGGCGAAAGCCUGACGGAGCAGCGCCGCGUGAGUGAUGAAGGUGUUCGGAUCGUAAAGCUCUGUUAUUAGGGAAGAACAAAUGUGUAAGUAACUAUGCACGUCUUGACGGUACCUAAUCAGAAAGCCACGGCUAACUACGUG
rnacentral:rRNA from 1 species